rnacentral:rRNA from 1 species
UAAGGAAUAUUGCGCAAUGGGGGAAACCCUGACGCAGCAACGCCGCGUGGAGGAUGACACUUUUCGGAGCGUAAACUCCUUUUAUCAGGAAAGAAUAAUGACGGUACCUGAUGAAUAAGCACCGGCUAACUCCGUGCCAGCAGCCGCGGUAAUACGGGGGGUGCAAGCGUUACUCGGAAUCACUGGGCGUAAAGGACGCGUAGGCGGAUUAUCAAGUCUUUUGUGAAAUCUAGUGGCUUAACCACUAAACUGCUUAGGAAACUGAUAGGCUAGAGUAGGGGAGAGGUAGAUGGAAUUCUUGGUGUAGGUGUAAAAUCCGUAGAGAUCAAGAAGAAUACCCAUUGCGAAAGCGAUCUGCUGGAACCUAACUGACGCUGAGGCGUGAAAGCGUGGGUAGCAAACAGG